rnacentral:rRNA from 1 species
CGUGCUCUAGCGGCAGGCCUAAUACAUGCAAGUCGAACGGGGUCCUUCGGGGCCCAGUGGCGCACGGGUGCGUAACGCGUAUGCAACCUACCUUUGACUGGGGGAUAGCCCGGAGAAAUCCGGAUUAAUACCGCAUAAGACCACACGAGGACAUCCGAGGGUGGUUAAAGAUUCAUCGGUCAAAGAUGGGCAUGCGUGCCAUUAGCUAGUUGGUGGUGUAACGGACCACCAAGGCGACGAUGGCUAGGGGUUCUGAGAGGACGGUCCCCCACACUGGCACUGAGAUACGGGCCAGACUCCUACGGGAGGCAGCAGUAGGGAAUAUUGGGCAAUGGGCGGAAGCCUGACCCAGCCAUGCCGCGUGCAGGAUGAAGGCCUUCUGGGUUGUAAACUGCUUUUACAGGGGAAGAAAACGCCCAUGCGUGGGAAACUGACGGUACCCUGGGAAUAAGCACCGGCUAACUCCGUGCCAGCAGCCGCGGUAAUACGGAGGGUGCAAGCGUUGUCCGGAUUUAUUGGGUUUAAAGGGUGCGUAGGCGGCCCAUUAAGUCAGUGGUGAAAGCCCGGGGCUCAACCCCGGAACCGCCAUUGAUACUGGUGGGCUUGAGUAUGGACGAGGUUGGCGGAAUUGAGGGUGUAGCGGUGAAAUGCUUAGAUACCCUCAAGACACCGAUUGCGUAGGCAGCUAACUAGGCCAUAACUGACGCUGAGGCACGAAAGCGUGGGGAGCGAACAGGAUUAGAUACCCUGGUAGUCCACGCCGUAAACGAUGAUUACUCGACGUCGGCGACAGACCGUCGGCGUCUUAGCGAAAGCGUUAAGUAAUCCACCUGGGGAGUACGCCCGCAAGGGUGAAACUCAAA